rnacentral:rRNA from 1 species
UACGUAGGGUGCGAGCGUUAAUCGGAAUUAUUAGGCGUAAAGCGUGCGCAGGCGGUUUUAUAAGGCAGAUGGGAAAUCCCCGGGCUUAACCUGGGAACUGCGUUUGUGACUGUAAGACUGGAGUGUGGCAGAGGGGGGUGGAAUUCCACGUGUAGCAGUGAAAUGCGUAGAGAUGUGGAGGAACACCGAUGGCGAAGGCAGCCCCCUGGGCUAACACUGACGCUCAGGCCCGAAAGCGUGGGGAGCAAACAGG